UACGUAGGGGCUAGCGUUGUCCGGAAUCAUUUGGGCGUAAAGAGCGUGUAGGCGGCCCGGUAAGUCCGCUGUGAAAGUCGGGGGCUCAACCCUCGAAUGCCGGUGGAUACUGUCGGGCUAGAGUGCGGAAGAGGCGAGUGGAAUUCCUGGUGUAGCGGUGAAAUGCGUAGAUAUCGUGAGGAACACCAGAGGCGAAGGCGGCUAC
rnacentral:rRNA from 1 species